AUAGCUUUAGGGCUAGCCUCAAGUGAUGAUUAUUGGAGGUAGAGCACUGUUUGGACGAGGGGCCCCUCUCGGGUUACCGAAUUCAGACAAACUCCGAAUGCCAAUUAAUUUAACUUGGGAGUCAGAACAUGGGUGAUAAGGUCCGUGUUCGAAAGGGAAACAGCCCAGACCACCAGCUAAGGUCCCAAAAUAUAUGUUAAGUGGAAAAGGAUGUGGCGUUGCCCAGACAACUAGGAUGUUGGCUUAGAAGCAGCCAUCAUUUAAAGAGUGCGUAAUAGCUCACUAGUCGAGUGACACUGCGCCGAAAAUGUACCGGGGCUAAACAUAUUACCGAAGCUGUGGAUUGUCCUUUGGACAAUGGUAGGAGAGCGUUCUAAGGGCGUUGAAGCAUGAUCGUAAGGACAUGUGGAGCGCUUAGAAGUGAGAAUGCCGGUGUGAGUAGUGAAAGACGGGUGAGAAUCCCGUCCACCGAUUGACUAAGGUUUCCAGAGGAAGGCUCGUCCGCUCUGGGUUAGUCGGGUCCUAAGCUGAGGCCGACAGGCGUAGGCGAUGGAUAACAGGUUGAUAUUCCUGUACCACCUAUAAUCGUUUUAAUCGAUGGGGGGACGCAGUAGGAUAGGCGAAGCGUGCGAUUGGAUUGCACGUCUAAGCAGUAAGGCUGAGUAUUAGGCAAAUCCGGUACUCAUUAAGGCUGAGCUGUGAUGGGGAGAAGACAUUGUGUCUUCGAGUCGUUGAUUUCACACUGCCGAGAAAAGCCUCUAGAUAGAAAAUAGGUGCCCGUACCGCAAACCGACACAGGUAGUCAAGAUGAGAAUUCUAAGGUGAGCGAGCGAACUCUCGUUAAGGAACUCGGCAAAAUGACCCCGUAACUUCGGGAGAAGGGGUGCUCUUUAGGGUUAACGCCCAGAAGAGCCGCAGUGAAUAGGCCCAAGCGACUGUUUAUCAAAAACACAGGUCUCUGCUAAACCGUAAGGUGAUGUAUAGGGGCUGACGCCUGCCCGGUGCUGGAAGGUUAAGAGGAGUGGUUAGCUUCUGCGAAGCUACGAAUCGAAGCCCCAGUAAACGGCGGCCGUAACUAUAACGGUCCUAAGGUAGCGAAAUUCCUUGUCGGGUAAGUUCCGACCCGCACGAAAGGCGUAACGAUUUGGGCACUGUCUCAACGAGAGACUCGGUGAAAUCAUAGUACCUGUGAAGAUGCAGGUUACCCGCGACAGGACGGAAAGACCCCGUGGAGCUUUACUGUAGCCUGAUAUUGAAAUUCGGCACAGCUUGUACAGGAUAGGUAGGAGCCUUUGAAACGUGAGCGCUAGCUUACGUGGAGGCGCUGGUGGGAUACUACCCUAGCUGUGUUGGCUUUCUAACCCGCACCACUUAUCGUGGUGGGAGACAGUGUCAGGCGGGCAGUUUGACUGGGGCGGUCGCCUCCUAAAAGGUAACGGAGGCGCUCAAAGGUUCCCUCAGAAUGGUUGGAAAUCAUUCAUAGAGUGUAAAGGCAUAAGGGAGCUUGACUGCGAGACCUACAAGUCGAGCAGGGUCGAAAGACGGACUUAGUGAUCCGGUGGUUCCGCAUGGAAGGGCCAUCGCUCAACGGAUAAAAGCUACCCCGGGGAUAACAGGCUUAUCUCCCCCAAGAGUUCACAUCGACGGGGAGGUUUGGCACCUCGAUGUCGGCUCAUCGCAUCCUGGGGCUGUAGUCGGUCCCAAGGGUUGGGCUGUUCGCCCAUUAAAGCGGUACGCGAGCUGGGUUCAGAACGUCGUGAGACAGUUCGGUCCCUAUCCGUCGUGGGCGUAGGAAAUUUGAGAGGAGCUGUCCUUAGUACGAGAGGACCGGGAUGGACAUACCUCUGGUGUACCAGUUGUCGUGCCAACGGCAUAGCUGGGUAGCUAUGUGUGGACGGGAUAAGUGCUGAAAGCAUCUAAGCAUGAAGCCCCCCUCAAGAUGAGAUUUCCCAACUUCGGUUAUAAGAUCCCUCAAAGAUGAUGAGGUUAAUAGGUUCGAGGUGGAAGCAUGGUGACAUGUGGAGCUGACGAAUACUAA
rnacentral:rRNA from 1 species